AUGAACUACUUUUGUUUGCUCUUUAUGUUUUUCUGUGGAAAAUACAAAACCAAAAAGGUUUUCCUUUUAAAGCAAAAAUGUAGUAGAGAUCAGUUCUUGGAUAACAGUAAGAAUGCAGCAUUCGCUUUAUAUAUCAAAACACUUGUCCUUAUUCCUAAAGACACUUUAAUGGGAGAAGAAAAAAAAAAACAGAAUAGUGUGCAUCAUUCAUCCACACCACAUAGAACAGGUGAUCCAGAUCUGAGGAAGCCCUUGCUCCAAAAGGCCUUGAUGCUGGGAGAUGAAUUCAUGUACAUUACCCAGAAAUGAAUGAAAUGGAUGGCUGGAAAGAUGUACAGUUUCCUUUCUCUGAAAAUCUAAUCUUCUCUCAUGAUGCACCCAUCUUGGGAGUUGGAAGUAAAUUAAAGAUCUCUAGGAGUUCAGAAGCUUUCUGCAAUUUUGAGCUGUGAGCUGUUACAAGAUGACAUAAUAGAACAGCAGAAGUUUUUUCUUGGUCAUUAACCUCUGAUCUCAUUUAAAAAUCAGAAAAUGAGAAGAGGCAAAGUGACUAUUGUCAGCUAGAUAAUCUAAAUGGAGCACCGCUACCUCUUAGGUUUAAAAAUUUAAGUUAUUCUUGUUUCCAAAACACAUGUGCAGCGAACCCACCAGCUGAUCAUAAGCCAGCUUGCUGUGCUCAAGCUGGGACAGCUGUGGGGAAGCAGAAACCCAAAUUGCUGGCUGUGCAAUCCCUGAUGCUCUCCGAGCUCCUUCCCGCUGACUGCACUGGUCAGGCAUCCAAUCAAGACACUGCCUACACCAUCCCCUCCCCAGCUCCUGUCACACACGGGGCCAUGGAGGUCCCUGCCCCCACCCUCUGGCCCUGACAUAUGGAGAAAAAACAGACAAACAAACAAACAAGAAACUUUCACUUUGUGUUGAGCCUUUGUAUAGAUGCACAUAUUCCUGAGUGGAAUCUACACCAACACAUGUGAAGCAUCUAAUGCAUCACUAUUUUCAAAAGAACACAGAAAUGGUUUGAGUUAGCUUUAGCUAUUCAUUGGAGUUGGUAAUUCCAGUAGGACUCAAGCCAUCCUGGGGGCUCUACAGCACAGACACACUCAACUCCCCACAACCAGGGCACAGCAUGUGAAGCUGGGGAGUCACCUGGUACCCACGAGAUAUACAGCUCUGCUCUCCAGGGUCUGGUCCUAGUUUAGAAUCAACUUAAAGCUACAUCCCUCUUAUUCCCUUUACAGAGAACGUCUUCAGAAAUUAGGUUGGUGAAAACAGUUUGCAAACCCAACCACCUCUUUCUGUUGCUUGUUUUCAA
rnacentral:lncRNA from 1 species